rnacentral:rRNA from 1 species
GACGAACGCUGGCGGCGUGCUUAACACAUGCAAGUCGAACGAAGUGGCGCACGGGUGAGUAACGCGUAAUCAACCUGCCCUUCAGGGGGGGACAACAGUUGGAAACGACUGCUAAUACCGCAUACUGAAGGAGGGGUUUGCGUCGGAUUAGCUAGUUGGGGGGGUAACGGCCCACCAAGGGGAUGAUCAGUAGCCGGGCUGAGAGGAGGAACGGCAACAAUGGGAAUGGGACACGGGCCCGACUCCGACGGGAGGGAGCAGUGGGGAAACUUUCGCAAUGGACGGAAGGCUGACGGAGCAACGCCGCGGGAGUGAUGACGGCCUUCGGGUUGUAAAGCUAUGUUAAGCGGGAAGCGGUACCGGAAGAGAAAGCCACGGCUAACUACGUGCCAGCAGCCGCGGUAAUUC